CCUGCCUGUGGGCUCAUCUUCUGGCAUCACAGCCCCAGUACAGGUUUUCAGAGUCAUUGAAAAUCAGUCAUGGUGCGAGUGGACUGACCGAUGAAAUCUCCAAAGUGAAAAGGCAGGUUACGUCAUAAGUAGCACAGGCCUCCUCAUAUGAAGGCUGUGGGUAUGCCCCAGGAGAAGCAGACCAUGAUGCUGAUGAGAAGAGCGCCCUCCCCUCCUUCAACC